UCUCAAACUAGUAAACUGAAUCAUCUAAGUAACUAGAUAAAAAAUCAACCGAGAAACCGUAAGUAGUGGCGAGCAAAAGCGGUAUAGACUAAUUUAAGAAGUUAAAUACAAUAUGUUUAAUAUUUAGCAGCCAAAGAAGGUAACAUUAGUUAAAAAAUAUGGAGUCCUGUAUAAUAUAUUAUAAAGCUUUUUAAAAAAAAGUAAAAUGAUACAUGUCAUGUAUUAUUUUAAGAUUGGGGUACCACCCUCAAAGUCUAAAAAGUAUUAAUGAUUGAUAGUGAAGAAGUACCGUAAGGGAAAGGUGAAAAAGUAUUUUUGAAUCUGAAAAGAACUUGAAGUUUAAUGUUUAUAAUCAGUUGUAGCUUAUUAUAAAAGUGACAGCGUUCCUUUUGCAUAAUGAAUCAAUGAGUUUAUAUUAAUGGCAAGCUUAAACUGUUAAAAGUAUAGGCUAAAAAAAAUUAAGUUUUAAAUUGCGUUUAG
rnacentral:rRNA from 13 species